rnacentral:rRNA from 1 species
CGGGGUGAGUAACGCGUGGGUAACCUGCCUCGUACAGGGGGAUAACAGUUAGAAAUGACUGCUAAUACCGCAUGAGCGCACAGUGCUGCAUGGCACAGUGUGAAAAACUCCGGUGGUAUGAGAUGGACCCGCGUCUGAUUAGCUAGUUGGUGGGGUAACGGCCUACCAAGGCGACGAUCAGUAGCCGGCCUGAGAGGGUGAACGGCCACAUUGGGACUGGGACACGGCCCAA